UACGUAGGGGGCAAGCGUUGUCCGGAUUUAUUGGGCGUAAAGAGCUCGUAGGCGGCUUGUCACGUCGGGUGUGAAAGCCCGGGGCUUAACCCCGGGUCUGCAUUCGAUACGGGCUAGCUAGAGUGUGGUAGGGGAGAUCGGAAUUCCUGGUGUAGCGGUGAAAUGCGCAGAUAUCAGGAAGAACACCCGUGGCGAAGGCGGCUCUCUGGGACGGUACUGACGCUGAGACGCGAAAGCGUGGGGAGCGAACAGG
rnacentral:rRNA from 1 species